rnacentral:tRNA from 1 species
CGGGACGUAGCUCAGCCUGGUAGAGCGCUGCGUUCGGGACGCAGAGGUCGCUGGUUCAAGUCCAGUCGUCCCGACCA